rnacentral:rRNA from 1 species
UACGGAGGGGGCUAGCGUUGUUCGGAAUCACUGGGCGUAAAGGGUGCGUAGGCGGGUCUUUAAGUCAGGGGUGAAAUCCUGGAGCUCAACUCCAGAACUGCCUUUGAUACUGAAGAUCUUGAGUUCGGGAGAGGUGAGUGGAACUGCGAGUGUAGAGGUGAAAUUCGUAGAUAUUCGGAAGAACACCAGUGGCGAAGGCGGCUCACUGGCCCGGUACUGACGCUGAGGUGCGAAAGCGUGGGGAGCAAACAGG